GGUUCUGAAAAUGUAGAAGUACUGAUGGUAGAACGACAUGCAUUAAAGGGUGUGAAGCUGAGCACCAAAGCAUUUCAGAAAAUGAUAAAUCUUAGGGUGCUUAAAAUCGACGACUUACAUAUUAGUGGAGAUUUUGAGCUAUUGUCCAAGGAGCUCAGAUGGUUGUCUUGGGAAGGAUGUCCUUUAAAAUGUAUACCAUCAAAUUUUCCAUCUGACCAACUUGUAUUUCUGAAUAUGAAAGGGAGCAAUAUCCAAGAACUUGGUUUGAAUUUGCAGGUUCGUUACUCAAUUCUGCAAUUUCAUGUGUACUGUUAUAUCGCAACUAAGAGAAAGAAAAUCUUAGUUGACACUAUAUUUUGUUUAUUUUAGUAUUGUAGAAAUUUGAAGAAGCUGGAUCUCUCUGAUUGCAAGCACCUCAGAAAUACUCCAAACUUCAGCGGUUUACGAAGUCUCGAGACUUUGUGGCUUGAGAAUUGCUCAAGUCUAAAGGAGAUCCAUCCAUCAAUAGGAAAUUUGGACAGACUAACUGCUCUUCAUUUGUAUGGUUGCAAAAAGAUUACGGAUCUUCCAAGUAGCACAUGCCAGCUAAAAUCCCUUGAAGACUUGGACAUUACUUACUGCUCAUCUUUACAAACACUGCCAGCUGACAUUGGAGAUAUGCAAAGCCUAAGACAUCUCUAUGCACAAGAUACUGAUAUAAAACAAUUGCCCGGAUCUGUUAAAAUGCUAAGAAAUCUUACAGAUUUGCAAGUGGGAGGUCAAAAUUUAAAGGCCAAAAGGAGAGUUUAUCAAAGAAGAUCCCACCAUAUAGAAUCCUUGCCAAUUUCUAUUUCUCGUUUAAUCCUUCGAUAUUGUGAUUUCUCCGAGGCUGAUAUUCCUAGGGAUAUUGGGACUUUAUCCAACUUACAUGAUUUAGAUUUGAGCGGCAACAGUUUCCUCUAUCUACCCUUUGAUUUCUCCAAGUUACCAUGGUUGAAGUCCUUGCGUUUGAAUGAUUGUAUGAAUCUUCAAACACUCCCGUCAAUAUCAAAUUUAGAGUACCUUUAUAUUCUUGAACUUAGGAAUUGCCAAAAGUUGGUCAAGAUUACAGGGUUGGACAACCUCCCUUCAAUACAAGAGAUCGACACUCUUAAUUGUACUUCUCUGCAGAAUCCAUUCAAUGAUGGCUUCUUUAGUGCCCAUGCUCUAUCAAUUUCAUCUAGAAAAUAUGCAAUGUUUCAGGUAAGUCCCUUUAUUUUUGUGUGUCUCGUAUCACAUUAUUAAUUAAUGUUCUAAUUGUGUCUUAAUUUGUCUGAUGAAGCUGCGGUUACACAUUUAUCUCCAAAGCAAUGAGAUUCCAGAUUGGUGCAGCAAUCAAGUAACAGCUCCAUCUAUCUGUUUCACUAUUCCCUCCGUAUUUAAGAAAAAGUCGUUAGGAAUGAUUCUCUGGUUUGUUUGCGACUCUAAGAUUUUAUCCCAGUUUGGACACUUCCUUGUUUCCGUAUCCAAUAAAAAGCCUUUAGUUUUUUACUGGACUAGGUAUAUUACUACACCCGAAUCACACGGAGAAGUAUCAUGCGUAUAUUACAUAUCUUGCUUAACUAGUCAUUAUUCUGGCCUGAUGAUCAAAGGCGGGGAAAAGAUAACAGUCGAGGAGGGCCCUGACAAAGGUAGAGUAAAGAAGAUAGGGGUACAUCUGUUAUACUUAGACAAACAUGGUAAUGUUACAUCUUCCCCACCAAUCCUUGAAGAAAAUCAUUCGCAUUCUCAGAUAAUGAACAGAGAGAGUCUCAGUGGAAAUGAACUCAAAAAGAGUGUCAAACAGAGGAUAUCAGCUCAAUCCUUGAAGAACAUCAUCACUCGCUUCAAAUCUUAGUUGAAUCAAAAAUAACUUGCUCCAGUUUCUUAUCAACAUGCAAUAUUCAAAAUGCUCAUCCAACUACAAUCUGAUUUUUUUAAAAAGUAUUUUUCAUCCGACAGAUGCUAAAUACUCAUUGCAAGUUGUCAUCCAAUGAAAAUUUUGCUAGUGUGUACAUUUUAUAUCUUACUCAAAUGAUGGACCUUUUUAUGGCCUGAAGAUUGAAGGCGGGGAAAAGAUAACAGUCAAGGAGGGCGCUGACGAAGGUAUAGUUUUUGCAGGCAGUUGUGGAUCAUUCUUAUACUGAUCUCUACCCAAAAAGACUUUCAUCAAACUACUCCUCUUUGAUAAAAGAUCAAAGUUUCUGUGUUCGGUAGCAAGGAAAAUAUGUUCCAUGAAAACGUUUUUUUGGAAAAUGUUUAUUCUAAAAGUAUUUGUAUAUAUAACACUAAGUGGAAAUGUACUUUUCUGCAGAAUCCAUUCAAUGAAUGCAUCUUUAGUGCCACUGCUCUAUCAAUUCCAUCUGGAAAAUAUCCAAUACAUGAGGGUAGUCCCCUCUCUCUCUCUCUCGUAUCACAUUAACAAUUAAUGAUCUAAUUGUAUUUUAAUUUGUCUGAUGAAGCAGAUUUUAUGAAUUUGUGUCGAAUGCAAUGAGAUUCCAGAUGGGUGCAGCAAUAAAGUAACAGCUCCAUAUAUCUGUUUCACUAUGCCCACAAUACAUAAUAAUAAGUUGUUAAGAAUGGUUCUCUAGUCUGUUGGCGACUUUGAGGCUUUAUCCUAUUUUGGGAACUUCCUUGUUACUGUUGCCCAUAAAAAGCCUUUAGUUAUGGAGUGGUUUGGGUGUAGGAAAAUACCCGAAUUACACGAAGAAAUAGCAUGUGUAUUUGAUGUAUCUUGCUUACGUAGACCUUUCGAUGGCCUGAUGCUCAAAGGUGGGGAAGAGAUAACAGUCGAGGAGGGCCCUUACAAAGGUGUAGUAAAAAAGAUAGGUAUCCAUCUGUUAUACUUAGACCAACACGGUAAUGUUACAUCUUUCCCCAUUUCCAGAAAAACUUCAGCAGGGCAUAAAAGAGCAAAGUUCUGAGUCAAGCUUGGGAAUGAGUGAUGACUGAAUCUGUGGUUUCGAGAUUGCUCAAGUCUGAGACUUCUAUUUCGAGAUUUUCUUUUCUAAGAAGAGCAUGCCACUUACAAUCCUUGUCAUCGACUUCUAUUUCGUGUUUGUCUGAGACUGAUUUUCCUAAGUUUAUUGGGAGUUUAUAUACUGCAUAGAAGUUUUAGAUUUGAGCAGUAACAAUUUUCACUGAGGUUCUUGCUUUUGAAUGACAAUGAGAGUCUUCAAACACUUCCAUCAGUUGCUUCUGUAUAAAAUUUUGUUUUCCAUUGUAUACUGCUAGUUUUUUGAGCUGCACUAAAACUUAGUAAAAAGAGAUGAAUCUGUAUAGUGAAUAUACUUCUUAUAAAUGUUUGUGGUGAUUUAUGGUCAUUAUUUGCAAAUUUCAUAUACUCAUCAGUUCCUAUUUACUUGUCAAAUAUUUUCUAAUUUGAUUUCCCUUUUUAGUUCGUCAUUUUUUUUACAAAUGAAGGAAGAACAAUUAUUUUCUUCCUAUUAUACGCUUAAUUUAUUAACAUUGAAUUAAUGUCUUUGAAAAAUGUAGUAAGUAAAUAUGUUUAAGAUUCUAUCAAUUAAUAGGGUAAAAUAGUAAACUUACUAUACCAAUCAUUGUUUUCUUUAACAGGUGUGUCAAGUCAAAAUUUAACAAGUAAAAAGGGACGAAAAGAGUAUAUAUACUUUGUGAAUUGAGAUUUAUGUCAAUGCUUUGACUGGUUCUUGAGAUGUUAAAUAAUUCCAAAUAAUAUUAAUUUGAUUUUCAUGACCAAACACCUACUUAGCUUGUUGAUCUCAAUUACGUAAAAUCUCUAUAAAAGAUAACCAAAGAAUGUCUCGAAGUCAACUACUGGUCAGACUAUUCAAAAAGAACUUAUAUUAUAAGAAAAUAUUCAAAAAGGAGAAAAAAAAAGUGAAGGAGAAGAAAGAGGAGGUAAAUAGCGUGUAUAUUUAUGAUACGUUAAGUAAGCAAUAUAUUUGUUUAUGUAAUAAGUUAAUUGCAAAGAAUCAAUUACGAAUUUGGUUGAAAAUAGAAUUAAGUACUCUCUUCCUCUCAUAUUAGUUGAUCAUUAUAUUAAAAAUAAUUAUCUAAUAUAAAUAUUUUCUAUAUUAUCCUUGCAAUUAAUUCUUUUUAAAAGUGUUCAUAUUUGUUUAUAAAAUUCCAAAAUAUUUUUUAAAAGGGUGAAUUAAUAAAAUUAUCUUCAUAUUUAUGAUUUUUUAAGCACCAUACAAAAUGAAAAGUGAUCAAAUAAUGGGACAGAGGAAGUAUUAGAUUACUCACUCUGUGGUAUCAUAAUAUUAUCAUUUUAUUUAUUGCUAAUGAAUAUGUGUCAUCAUACUGGACAAAUUAAAAUGAACGAACGUCCCAAUAGCAAAUUAAAUUUCUUACUUGGGAUCAACAAGGAUUGUGGUGCAGUAGAAAGUACUCAUUUAUCCUUAAUCAGACUCUUGGGUUCAAGUUUCCCUUGGUAUAAAGUCCCCUUUUUUAGGGAGCGUUUUACCUCCAAUGUGGAACUUUUCAGUGCAAAUCAAAAUUUAAUCGGGUUCCAAUGUGGUACGAACAACAAGUGGAAAAUCAAAUCAAAUAAAAAAAUAAUAAUUUUUUUUCUUAUUUUUGAAGAAUCUGACACAGAUAGAGCAACAUUUUCAAAGAAUCUGAGUAAAAUACCAAACUAUGAUAAUCUUAAUAAAGGCAUAGUGGAACAUCAUGACAUAUUUGUUGUAUUUUAUUUUUAAGGGAAAAGGCUCAAAUAUGCCAUUGAACUUUCAGAAAAGGCUCAUUUAUGCCAUCCGUUAAAAGUUUGGCUCAUCUAUGCCAUUACCGUUUAAGAAAAGGCUCAUUCAUGCCAUUAUUUUUUAACGGUGGUUUUGCAGAACCAUUUUUUUAAAUGUUUGUUUAGAAUUUUGAUUUUUUAUUAUAAAAAAAAUAAUGACGUGGCCGAAUUAUAAUUGGCCACGUGUAAAAAAUGAUUUUGCAAAACCACCGUUAAAAUAUUUGUUCAUAAUUUUGUUUUUUUGUUAUAAAAAAAUAAUGACGUGGCUGAAUUAUAAUUGGUCACGUGUAAAAAAUAGUUUUGCAAAACCACCGUUAAAAUGCUUGUUCAGAAUUUUGAUUUUUUAUUAUAAAAAAAUAAUGACAUGGCCAAAUUAUAAUUGGCCACGUGUAAAAAAUGGUUUUGCAAAACCACCGUUAAAAAAUAAUGGCAUGAAUGAGCUUUUUCUUAAACGGUAAUGGCAUAGAUGAGCCAAACUUUUAACGAAUGGCAUAAAUGAGCCUUUUCUGAAAGUUCGAUGGCAUAUUUGAGCCUUUUCCCUAUUUUUAAUAAAGAUGAAGAGGAAAAGUCAGAGGUUGUGAAAUUUGUUGCAAUACUAUAUUUGUUCUGCAAUAAAUUAAUCACAAAGAUAUAGAAACGGUCCAAUUCAAUAAAUUAUUCACUUUGUGUGUAAUCGUAAUAUUGUUAUUUUAUUUAUUGUUAAUGAACGUAUAUCGUUAUAAAUGAACCGAGGGUGAGAGUAAACAAAUUAAAUUUCUUAGGACUUGGGAGGUAUCUUGCAAAAUAGUUGAUCUAAUACUAUACAGUGAACUUUCUUGGUUUCAUCCAUGAAUACUCAAGGAGAAUCAUCAUCUUCUUCUUCCCACUUGUCUUAUGAUGUAUUUCUCAGUUUUAGAGGCGAAAGAUACUCGCAAAACCUUCACCGGUCAUCUUUACACCCAAUUGUGUCAAGUCGGAGUUCAUACCUUCAUAGAUGAUGAGGAAUUAAGAAAGGGAGACGUCAUUUCAACCGAACUUGAGAAAGCAAUUGAACAAUCAAGGGUUGCCAUUGUUGUUUUCUCCAAAAAUUAUGCUUCGUCUAGUUGGUGUCUUGAUGAACUUGUUAAAAUUCUCGAUUGCAAAGAGAGGUUAAAGCAGGUAGUUUUGCCUAUUUUCUAUGAUGUUGAUCCUUCUCAAGUGCGAAAGCAAACUGGGUCCUUUGGCGAAGCUUUGGCAAAACACAAGGAACGAUCAAUUGGAGCUGAAAGAAUGGAAAAGUGGAAAGCAGCACUCACUGAAGCUGCAAAUUUAUCUGGAUGGGAUUUGCGAAAUAUUGCUGAUGGGUAAAACUUCUUAAUUUAAUGGGAAAAUGCAUAAGUAUCCCCAAAUUUAUGCCUGAAAUUUCAGAGACACACUUAUACUAUACUAAGAUCCUAUUAUCCGAACUUAUUUUAUAAAUAAUUUUCUACCCCUUUUCGGUCUAUGUGACACUAUUCUUGAAAGAAUUGUCAACAUGCGCUGGCCCUGAAGAUAGUGUCACGUAGGCUGAAAAGGAGUAGAAAAUUAUUUAUAAAAUAAGUACGGGGUAAUAAGACCUUAAUAUAGUAUAAGUGUGUCUCUGAAAUUUCGGGCAUAGGUUGAGGGAUACUUAUGUAUUUUCCCUAAUUUAAUUAUAGAAUUUUGAAUUUAAGAAUUUGCUUAAGCUUAUAAGUUGGUUAGUUUUGAAACAUUGCAAAGUCUUUCAAUAUUUCUUAAAACUCAGUGCCCAAUCAAACUAAGGGAGUAGUAAUAAUCGAUAAUCCAAGUAUCAAUUAACAGCAAUUAGCCUGUUAAAUGUAGUUAGAAUUUACUAAUAGCAUAGAAAUAUCAAUAUAUAAAAAUAAAUUCCGUUCUCUAACCUCGAGUCCCUGUUAUCUGUUGGCUAUUGAUUUUGUUUUGUUCAUCAAAUAUCCAAGUAUUGUUUUGCUUUUUUUACUUUUAACUUUUGUUGUUGCCAUAAAAUUGUAGGCAUGAAUCAAAAUUUAUUGGAAGUAUUAUAAAACAAGUUCUGCAAGAGGUCAACCAGACACCUCUAGAUGUUGCUCAUUACCCAAUUGGAUUAGAUUCUUCUAUCGAACAUAUAGAGUUGUUACUGCAAAGUGGAUGUGAGCAUGAAGUUCACAUGAUUGGUAUAUGUGGCGUUGGUGGAAUUGGAAAAACAACUCUGGCAAAAGCUAUCUACAAUAAAAUAUUUCAACAGUUUGAUGGUAGUUGCUUCCUUUCAGACGUUAGAUCAAAAACUGAAGAAAUGGGUCUAGUCAAACUUCAAAAGAAACUACUUAAUCAAAUCCUCAAAACUAAGGAAUUUGAAGUUGAUAGUGUUGCUGAAGGUGUUAAUCUCAUCAAAGCAAGACUUGGGUUUCAGAAGGUUCUAAUUGUUCUUGAUGACGUGGAUCAUAAAAGCCGAUUAGAAUCCUUAACAAGAGAAAGAAGUUGGUUUGGCUUUGGUAGUGUAAUAAUUAUUACAACCCGAGACGAGCAUUUGUUGUAUGGGCUUACAACAAGUGAGAUAUACCAGGCCAAACUUUUAAAUGACAACGAAGCUCAGCAACUUUUUUCUCGUCAUGCUUUCAACAGUUUUUCUCCACCACAAGAAUAUGAUGAGCUGGCACAAGACAUAAUAAAAUAUUCAGGUGGGUUACCAUUAGCUCUUGUGACAUUAGGGUCACAUUUGCAAGGGAGAUCCAUAGAAGAAUGGAGACACGAGUUCAAAAAACUAAGAGCAAUUCCUCAUUGUGAUACUCAAAAGAUUCUCCAAAUAAGCUUUGAUGGACUUGAUGACAAUACUCAGAGUGUUUUCCUUGAUAUCACAUGCGCCUUCCAUGGAUGUUAUGAGGAUGAAGUGACCAAAACAUUAAAUGCGUGUGGUUUUUAUUCUGAAAGUGCAAUUUCGACCUUAAUCCAAAGGAACUUACUCCAAAGGGAUUGCUGUUAUUUGGUGAUGCAUGAUCUAGUGCGGGAUAUGGGAAGAGAAAUCGUUCGCUUGGAAUCACCUCGAGACUCUGGAAAACGGAGUAGAUUGUUCAACCCUCAAGAAGUCCGUGAUGUUCUACAAGGAAAUAAAGUUAGUAAAUUUGGAUUAUCUUUAUUUGAUAUACAUUUGCUUAUAAUUUAUGUUGUCACCACAUAAACUUAUUUCAUUUGUGCUCAAUACUUCUCUGGCUAGUAAAUUAUCUCUAGUUGUUUGCGAACCACUCUGUACUUGAAAUGAGUCAAAGACAAAAUUAUCAAAUAAAAUUCAGUUAUUCAAUAAUUAUAGAAAUUGAUUUGUUGAAAGAUAUUUCUUAUUAAAUAUUUGGAUAUAAUGUGUAAAUUUAUUUUCUUGGUAGAUAAUUUUUAUUCUCUUUGAUUGACCUUUAAUUUGUAUAAAACAUUUCUCUCUCUUAAUUUCUUAUACUUAACAUGGUCUUAUGGUACUUAACAUGGUCUUACAGGGUUCCAAAAAUGUAGAAGUAUUGGUGGUAGAACGACGGGCAUUAAAGGGUGUGAAGCUGAGCACCAAAGCAUUUCAGAAAAUGAUAAAACUUAGGGUGCUUAAAAUUGAUGACUUACAUAUUAGUGGAGAUUUUGAGCUAUUGUCCAAGGAGCUCAGAUGGUUGUCUUGGAAAGGAUGUCCUUUAAAAUGUAUACCAUUAAAUUUUCCAGCUGAAAAACUUGUAGUUCUGAAUAUGGAAGGGAGCGAUGUCCAAGACUUUGGUUUGAAUUUGC
rnacentral:lncRNA from 1 species